CUCAUUUUCAGCCUCAGGAUGAUGAAGACACUCACCAUCCUGCUGCUUGCUCUCUCUCUGCCCUGUUCUACAGGUCAGAGUAUAGAGACCAUUCCUUCCAGUCCUGUAGUGAAAAAUCCUGGUGAGACUCUGAGUCUCUCCUGCAGAGGAUCUGGGUUUUCAUUUGGCUGCUGCAGCAUGAGCUGGAUCAGACAAGCUGCUGGAAAAGGACUGGAAUGGAUGGGACGUAUCUACAGCGAUGCAAGUAGAACAGAGUAUUCCAGCAGCGUUCAAGGUCGAAUAGAAAUCACCAGAGACAACAGCAACAGCAUGGUUUAUCUGAAACUGUCCAACUUAGUAUCUGAGGACUCUGCUACAUAUUAAUGUGCAAAGCACACACUGAUUAAAACAGAUGGUGAGGCUUUACAAAAACUCCACAGGGAUAGUUCUUACUUUGACCAGAUAGGGACAGUAAAGUAAACGGUAAAUGGUCUGAACUCC